rnacentral:rRNA from 1 species
UACGUAGGGUGCGAGCGUUAAUCGGAAUUACUGGGCGUAAAGCGUGCGCAGGCGGUUGGUUAAGUCUGAUGUGAAAGCCCCGGGCUCAACCUGGGAAUGGCAUUGGAAACUGGCUGGCUAGAGUGUGGCAGAGGGGGGUGGAAUUCCGCGUGUAGCAGUGAAAUGCGUAGAGAUGCGGAGGAACACCGAUGGCGAAGGCAGCCCCCUGGGCUGACACUGACGCUCGGGCACGAAAGCGUGGGGAGCAAACAGG